rnacentral:rRNA from 1 species
AGCGAACGCUGGCGGCAGGCCUAACACAUGCAAGUCGAACGAAGUCUUCGGACUUAGUGGCGGACGGGUGAGUAACACGUGGGAACGUGCCUUUAGGUUCGGAAUAACUCAGGGAAACUUGUGCUAAUACCGAAUGUGCCCUUCGGGGGAAAGAUUUAUCGCCUUUAGAGCGGCCCGCGUCUGAUUAGCUAAUUGGUGAGGUAAAGGCUCACCAAGGCGACGAUCAGUAGCUGGUCUGAGAGGAUGAUCAGCCACAUUGGGCACUGAGACACGGCCCAAACUCCUACGGGAGGCAGCAGUGGGGAAUCUUGCGCAAUGGGCGAAAGCCUGACGCAGCCAUGCCGCGUGAAUGAUGAAGGUCUUAGGAUUGUAAAAUUCUUUCACCGGGGACGAUAAUGACGGUACCCGGAGAAGAAGCCCCGGCUAACUUCGUGCCAGCCGCCGCGGUAAGAC